rnacentral:lncRNA from 1 species
GUGUCAAAUGUUCUUUAGGAUUUUACUUUGUUCUAAAUUACUUUUUCAUAUUUUAUCAAUUUGUAAUUUUAAUUAAUACCCAUUCUUCUCCUCCUUUUUGUCACUAUCAAAAAGAUAGAUAUUGUCAAACAUUCAUAAAGGAGACAUUGCACAUAUAAAGAAAAAUAAACUUCAAGUUUCAUUCAUUCAUUUAAGAAGAUACAACAUACAAUAAUCUCAAAAAGAAACUUGAUUAUAACAUAAGACAUUGAUAAACAAAAAGCUCAAAAUGAUAAUGCAAUUGCAUGCAACCUAAUCCAAGCUAGAAUCGAGAGGGGCGGAGGAAGCUGGAUCCAUGUGUACAAAAGAAUACUGUUUGGUAAAGGCCUCUCUCACAGCAUUCUUCACCAGUGAAGAAAGACAAUCGAAAAUCCAAUCUAAUACAUGCUGCACGAUCUCUUCUACCUGAUCCUUAUCAAUUCGAAUAGUGGAUGAAGAUGUAGCAAGUGCUGGAUGCUCUAGCAGGUCUGGCUGAACUGUAGGAUCUACAGGAUGUGGUACGGGCUCCGACACACCUCAACUUUCUCUUCCUCACCUUCUCUGACCCACUGUCCUUCAAUCUUUAAGAAUCCCAUCCUCUUCAUUGACUUCUCAUUGUAUAUAUCAUAAUGUUGAAGUAUCUUGCAUAACUCUCCUACCACACCAAC